UUUUUUUUUUUUUUAAUGUGUUCCUUCCUUUUUUCCUCCAAUAUGGCGGUCGGAGACUGUUGUAGGUCGUAAAUAUUACAAAAAUUUU